AUGGAUGAGGAUAUGCACUGGGCUCCGAGGUCCGAGCAGCGAACGUCUGCGUUCUGAUGGAGAUGCGUUUGCCUAGAAAGCAUUGUCUGACAU
rnacentral:snoRNA from 1 species